AUCGUGCUUACUGUGAUAAAUGGAACCGGUCUACCAGGUGUACAUGCCCAGUCAUGUCACGAAAGACCUGAGGAUGCGUUAACAAGAUUAUUUCGACUCCGAUGUCGAAGAAGUCUUCUUAGCAAUGACUCGAUGAUCGCGUCUGAGCGCGAUCUAGCACCGUGGAUUCCAAAAGGGUGGGGAAUAAGAAUUAGAAGACGGCACGAUGUUUGCAGCGUUCUCGCACCAACGCCACCUUUAGAUGACAGAGACUUACAUGGUUCUCUUGCUCGGAGCGGUAACUUCACAGGU